rnacentral:rRNA from 1 species
GAUCCUGGCUCAGGAUGAACGCUAGCUACAGGCUUAACACAUGCAAGUCGAGGGGAAACGAUAUUGGAAGCUUGCUUCCGAUAGGCGUCGACCGGCGCACGGGUGAGUAACGCGUAUCCAACCUGCCCACCACUUGGGGAUAACCUUGCGAAAGUAAGACUAAUACCCAAUGAUAUCUCUAGAAGACAUCUGAGGAGGUAAUUAAAGUAUUUAGUCGGUGAGUGGAGUGGGGAUGCGUCUGUAUUA